ACAGUUAACCGCACGAUUAACUGC
rnacentral:snRNA from 1 species